rnacentral:rRNA from 1 species
UACGGAGGGGACUAGCGUUGUUCGGAAUUACUGGGCGUAAAGCGCACGUAGGCGGAUUUGUAAGUCAGGGGUGAAAUCCCGGGGCUCAACCUCGGAACUGCCUUUGAUACUGCAAAUCUCGAGUCCGGAAGAGGUGAGUGGAAUUCCUAGUGUAGAGGUGAAAUUCGUAGAUAUUGGGAAGAACACCGGUGGCGAAGGCGGCUCUCUGGACCGAGACUGACGCUGAGGCGCGAAAGCGUGGGGGAGCAAACAGG